rnacentral:tRNA from 1 species
CAGACUGCUGGAAGUGGAUUACUUCUCGGUCGGCUUGCGCCUGAUUGGCUUUCUGUUGAUGGUGCUGAGCCUUGCAGCCUUG